AGGGAAUCUUCCACAAUGGACGAAAGUCUGAUGGAGCAACGCCGCGUGAGUGAUGAAGGUUUUCGGAUCGUAAAACUCUGUUGUAAGGGAAGAACCAGUACGUCAGGCAAUGGACGUACCUUGACGGUACCUUAUUAGAAAGCCACGGCUAACUACGUGCCAGCAGCCGCGGUAAUACGUAGGUGGCAAGCGUUGUCCGGAAUUAUUGGGCGUAAAGCGCGCGCAGGUGGUUUCUUAAGUCUGAUGUGAAAGCCCACGGCUAACCGUGGGGAGUCUUUGGAAAUGGGGCGCGUUGAGACGGGAGGAGAGGAGUGUAUUUCGAGGGGUGUCGGGGAUAUGUGUGGAGAUUUGGAGAACAACCAGUGGGGAGGAGGCUUUUUUGGUCUCCAACUGCCGCGGUGGGGCGAAAAAAUGUGGAGCACACA
rnacentral:rRNA from 1 species